AGUCGAGCGAGAAUCUGGUGAAUGAUCCUUCGGGUGAAUGAUCCAGAGGACAGCUGGCAAACGGCGUAGUAAUGCGUAGGUUACGUACCCUCGGGACCGGGACAGCCACGGGAAACUGUGGGUAAUACCGGAUAAUCUCUCCGGAGCAAAUGGUGUGAUUCCGCCCGAGGAGCGGCUUAUGUGAUACUAGCUCGUUGGUGGGGUAAUGGCCUACCAAGGCUCAGAUGUCUAGGGGGUGUGAGAGCAUGGCCCCCACGACCGGGACUGAGACACUGCCCGGACACCUACGGGUGGCUGCAGUCGAGAAUCUUCCGCAAUGGGCGCAAGCCCGACGGAGCGACGCCGCGUGCGGGACGAAGGCCCUUGGGUUGUAAACCGCUGUCAGAGGGGAUGAAAUGCAGGUGGGUUAUCCCUCCUGUUUGACAGAGCCUCAGAGGAAGCACGGGCUAAGUACGUGCCAGCAGCCGCGGUAACACGUACUGUGCGAACGUUAUUCGGAAUCACUGGGCUUAAAGGGUCCGUAGGCGGCUUUGUAAGUCAGGUGUGAAAUCUCACGGCUCAACCGUGAAACUGCGCUUGAAACUACAUCGCUUGAGUAUCCUAGGGGUGAGCGGAACUGCCAGUGGAGCGGUGAAAUGUGUUGAUAUUGGCAGGAACACCUGUGGCGAAGGCGGCUCACUGGGGGAUAACUGACGCUGAGGGACGAAAGCCAGGGUAGCGAACGGGAUUAGAUACCCCGGUAGUCCUGGCUGUAAACACUGAGCACUAGUUGGGAGGGGGUUCGCCCCAUCCUGACGCAGCGAAAGCAUUAAGUGCUCCGCCUGGGGAGUAUGGU
rnacentral:rRNA from 1 species